rnacentral:rRNA from 1 species
AUUGAACGCUGGCGGAAUGCUUUACACAUGCAAGUCGAACGGCAGCACGGGGGCAACCCUGGUGGCGAGUGGCGAACGGGUGAGUAAUACAUCGGAACGUGCCCAGUCGUGGGGGAUAACGUAGCGGAAGUUACGCUAAUACCGCAUACGAUCUACGGAUGAAAGCGGGGGAACGUAAGGCGUCGCGCGAUUGGAGCGGCCGAUAUCGGAUUAGGUUGUUGGUGAGGUAAAAGCUCACCAAGCCUGGGAUCUGUAGCUGGUCUGAGAGGACGACCAGCCACACUGGAACUGAGACACGGUCCAGACUCCUACGAGAGGCAGCAGUGGGGAAUUUUGGACAAUGGACGCAAGUCUGAUCCAGCAAUGCCGCGUGCAGGACGAAGGCCUUCGGGUUGUAAACUGCUUUUGUACGGAACGAAACGGUGAGCUCUAAUACAGUUUGCUAAUGACGGUACCGUAAGAAUAAGCACCGGCUAACUACGUGCCAGCCGCCGCUGUAA